rnacentral:rRNA from 1 species
UUUCGCAAUGCCCGAAAGGGUGACGAAGCGACGCCGCGUGCGGGAAGAAGGCCUUCGGGUUGUAAACCGCUGUCGGGAGUUAAGAAAUGUAAGGAUGUUAAUAGCAUUCUUACUUGACUAAGGCUCCGGAGGAAGCCACGGCUAACUCUGUGCCAGCAGCCGCGGUAAUACAGAGGCGGCAAGCGUUGUUCGGAAUUAUUGAGCGUAAAGAGCACGUAGGCGGCCGUGCAAGUCGGUUGUGAAAGCCUUCCGCUUAACGGAAGAACAGCAGCCGAUACUGCAUGGCUUGAGUGCGGGAGGGGAGAGUGGAACUUCUGGUGGAGCGGUGAAAUGCGUAGAUAUCAGAAGGAACGCCGGCGGCGAAAGCGACUCUCUGGCCCGUAACUGACGCUGAGUGUGCGAAAGCUAGGGGAGCAAACGGGAUUAGAUACCCCGGUAGUCCUAGCCGUAAACGAUGGGCACUAAGUAGAGGGGUUUU